UUCUGCUUCUCCUCCUCCUCCGGCUUCCAACAGUAACGGAAAUAACAUUAUUUUCUCCAUUGAAUCCCUUUGAUUCAUACGUUACGAAAAUUAAAAAUACCCAUCACCACCACCAUUAUUUCUGCUUACCAGUCCUUUAGAAAUGUUCCACUACAUAAACCGGACCAGAAGAAGUUGUUUUGUGAAGCUUCUCAGUGCGUUUGUAAACCAUAAUACUCCGUCACGAUUCAUAUUUUGGUUCGUGGAUGCCAUAUUGAGCAAAGAGUUACCAUCCAUCUCAGGUAAAAGAAAUGGUUGAGUCAUUGUUUAACACAAAGUCAUAUGUCAUUACACAGACAUUGGUGGUUGGGUAAAGAAAUGAGUUUUACAAACUUUCUGUGAGGUUGAUGAAUUUUAUAUUGUUCUUAUAGUUGCAGAACAAGAUGAACAUUAAUGAAGAAACUGUUCACACUAGCAGUAAAUUUCAUGAGAAGGCUCGACAGAAAAUUUUCUAUAAGGUUUAUGGUUCUGUACUUUACAUCUCAUUCACCACUUUCAUAAAUCUAAAAGCGGAGAAUGCUUAAACCAAAGAGCUUGGCAUAAUUCUAAAUAAUUUUUCUAUUUUUAUGUUUUAUAUAGUAAAAAAAAUUAGAUGGCAUGAGAGUACAUCUGCCCAUGUCUAUCGGAAGAUUAGUCUCCAACUUAUCAGUUCCCGUUAGUUAUUUGCUAGGUGGGAGGUAGAAUGACAAUUUCGUAUACUCUUUGAAGUCAUAUGAUUUGAUAUAAUGCUUUAAUUUAAAUCAAUUGCUGGUGGUGUUUGAGGAGAGGUAAUAAAUCUAUUAAAUUCUUAUUUGUUAAGGUAUUAUAUGAAUUCUUCUUAAAGGAGAGAAAUUGUAUAAAACCAAUGUUGAAUCUGUGGCAGGCUGAGGUACAUGGAUCUAUAAACGUCGAAGGAAAAGAUCAGUUGGAGCUCGAAUAAAUGCAUGUGUGACUAUUUGGUCACGGUGAGACACCUUAAAACUUUGUGGGAGGUAGAAAGACAAUUUCGUAUACUCUUUGAAGUCAUAUGAUUUGAUAUAAUGCUUUAAUUUAAAUCAAUUGCUGGUGGUGUUUGAGGAGAGGCUGAGGUACAUGGAUCUAUAAACGUCGAAGGAAAAGAUCAGUUGGAGCUCGAAUAAACGCAUGUGUGACUAUUUAGUCACGGUGAGACACCUUAAAACUUUGAGUGACUUUAUGAUUUUUGCUAAGAACGGUGUGUGUUUGGAAUGUGAUGCCAAGUGCCCAAAGAAACAUCUGCUAUAGAUUAGGAAUCCACAGUACGUUUUUUACACUAUACAGAAAUUUGGUGCCAUUUCAUCGACGCGUCACAAUAACAGUCUUCAGGUUACAACUCUUUUAUUUAUUCAAUCAACUGAGCAUUGAUAAUUUGACCUUAUAUAUGCUUCUGCUCAUUAGAUCUUCUUGAAAUUUAUUGCUGUACUCACACAACUAGCUAAAUUUUCUACCACUUUGUUCUGCUUAAGAUUUUCGUAUGAAUGUUAUCUACUGAUUACAAGAUGGCAAUUUUCUAUGACACCUGCAUGAUAAGUGCCCGACUUUGACAUGUACAUUCCCACAUUUCUAGAUGUAUUUGGAUGUGUCAACUUUGGAGAAUGAUCCACAUCUUUACUCCUUUACUAAGUUACUGCUUCAUCGCCACUUACAAGUGGUUCAAUUUUAUCCCGCUUCAGCGUACUAUGGUUAAUUUUGUUGUGCAUUUUUAUGCUCUAUUUAUUAACUUGGUUUGCUGCCUUGCGUUUCUAACAAGUUUAGAUAAAUUUAUGUAAGGUUUUUCCACGGUGGAAUCCUUAAUUGCUAGCGAGGUCAGUUCUUGAGCUUCGCUACAUAUCAAGAUUUGAAGGUAAUUCUCUAGAUAUAAGUUCACAUAUAUAAUCAGGUAAAGCUUUAUUGCCUAUAUUUUUGCGAUUGACAACUCAUGCAUACACAUUUAGCAGGUGGCAUGACUUAUAAAAUUUAACAACCAUAUUGAAUCAGCCAUUUUUCUAGCAUUGGCACCUCCAACCAGCCAGUUUAUCAUACUCCCUGCAGCUGUUUUAUCAUUUAACUUUCAUAAUUUGCACAUGAAGCCAUUCAGAGGCUAUGAGAUCUACAUCCAAUAUCCAAUAUCCAAAGCCCAUUUUCCAGUAGCACGUACCCACCAUGAGAUCGACAUAUCACAACUAAAUCAUUUGCCCAACCUAUAAUCAAGUCGCUCACCCACCAUAAGGCAGGCACUAAACAAAGUAGGCCUGGAGGUCAGGCCACUUACUAAUUACCUGUUGCUUCUUUUUUUAAUAACUACAGUAUUAUGUAACUUCUUAUUCGAUGGUUGAUUCACAUAUUGGAGUGAUAUUAUUUGCAAAUGUACACUGUAUAUUCUGAGAAGUAACUAAAUAUUUAUGUAACUUCGGAUUCGAAGGUUGAUUCACAUGUUGGAGCGAUAGAUUAUUUGGCAAUGUACGCUAUAAUUUAAGAAUGUAAAAACUUAUAUGUUUGUCUCUGUGCUCUAAUACUAAAGAGAUGUAGGGUCUUUGUUUUACA